AAGGCUUUAAGUUAAAAAAAACUAAUAGCCUUCAAAGCUAUAAAUAAAGGCACAAAUUCUUUAAGCCUUA
rnacentral:tRNA from 1 species